GUAUUACCGCGGCUGCUGGCACGGAGUUAGCCGGUGCUUUCUUUGAGGGGUACCGUCAGGCCCAGGCGAUAUUAACGCCCGGGAGUUUCUUCCCCUCUGACAGAGCUUUACGAUCCGAAAACCUUCAUCACUCACGCGGCGUUGCUGCGUCAGGGUUUCCCCCAUUGCGCAAUAUUCCCCACUGCUGCCUCCCGUAGGAGUCUGGUCCGUGUUCCAGUACCAGUGUGGCUGAUCAUCCUCUCAGACCAGCUAACCAUCGUAGCCUUGGUAAGCCGUUACCUUACCAACAAGCUAAUGGUCCGCGGCCCAUCAAUCAGCGACAGCAUAGUAUAGAGGCCAUCUUUCCUCAAAAAACCAAAGCUUAAUUGAACGUAUCCGGUAUUAGCACCCCUUUCGAAGUGUUAUCCCAGACUGAAGGGUAGGUUACCCACGUGUUACUCACCCGUGCGCCACUGUACUCAUUCUUCGAANAAAACUUUCUCGUUAGACUUGCAUGUGGUAAGCACGCCGCCAGCGUUCGUUCUGAGCCAGGAUCAAACAAAGGGCGAAUUNUUUAAACCUGCAGGACUAGG
rnacentral:rRNA from 1 species